CACGUAGGGCGCAAGCGUUGUCCGGAAUUAUUGGGCGUAAAGAGCUCGUAGGCGGUCUGUUGCGUCCGCUGUGAAAACUCGGGGCUUAACCCCGAGCCUGCAGUGGAUACGGGCAGACUAGAGGUAGGUAGGGGAGAAUGGAAUUCCCGGUGUAGCGGUGAAAUGCGCAGAUAUCGGGAGGAACACCGGUGGCGAAAGCGACGGGCUGGACCCCUUCUGACGCUGAGGCGCGAAAGCCAGGGGAGCAAACGGG
rnacentral:rRNA from 1 species